GGGGCUCAGAAAUAUUCCUUUGCUUCGAGUGUUCUCCAUCUGGAAGAGUUUAGCUAAUUAAACCAAAGAUCGUGGAUGAGUUGGCCCCAUUUAUCUCCAGUGGAUGAAAUCCUUUUCUCUCCAGAGGAUUCUUCAGACAAAUAUCAAAGCUUUGCUGGGAUACCUACCCUUGAAGAACGGAUCACCUAAUAGGGGUACAGAACACAGCUGCCGAAGCAGGAAUUUAUCUUGGCACCUGCUGAUGGACGCGUGCACACAAGGAUCCAGAGAUUGAGUGAAGGAAGAUGCCUGGGACCAAGGAAAGCAGAAAUGGCGGGGCAUGCAUUACCUGUGGCAAUGGGGACACGAUGCAGGCCGGCCAUAGGAUAAAUAGUGUUUUCCAACCCUGCUUGACAGCAAGAAUUGCCCAAGGACCUGGUGGAAAACAGAUUCCCAGGCCUCAUCCCCUGCCGUCUCUGGAGAGGCGCGCGAAUCUAGAGUGUAACAAGUCACCAGGUGAUUCCUAUCAGGCCGUUUUUGGAACACAUCCCGGAACCCUCUACUCCAGUCUCUUGGUUUGGCUCUUUUGUCCUCGAUGCACCUGGCCCCAUAUUCUGUAAAGCUUUAGCUUUUGCUUGAAGGUGGACAUGAUUAAAAGGUCAUCUCUCAUUAUAAAUUCUCAA
rnacentral:lncRNA from 1 species